ACAUGGCCCCAUUCAUUCUUUCCUUUACAUGGAUCAGUCAUCCUGGUCCCUUAGCAGAAAAAACAGCCCCAAAGCAUAAUGUUUCCACCACCAUGCUUCCCAGUAGGUAUGGUGUUCUUUGGAUGCAACUCAGCAUUCUUUUUCCUCCAACCAUGAGUUGAGUUUUUACCAAAAAGUUCUACAUUGGUUUCAUCUGACCAUAUGACAUUCUCCCAAUACUCUUCUGGACCAUCCAAAUGCUGUCUAGCAAACUUCAGACGGGCCCAGACAUGUACUGGCUUAAGCAGGGGGACACGUCUGGCACUACAUGAUUUGAGUCCCUGGCGGCAUAGUGUGUUACUGAUGAUAGCCUAUGUUACUUUGGUCCCAGCUCUCUGCAGGUCAUUCACUAGGUCCCACAUGUGGUUCUGGGAUUUUUGCUCACUAUCCAAAGAAAAGGAAACAAUACAAUAUGUGUUGGCACUGCGACUAGGACACAAACAGUCUCUGUGAUAAUGGAGCAAUCACCCCCGCUACUCACGGAUCCUCCGCCUGACACCGGUGCUCAUCCAGAAAACGCAGAGUAAACUCAUGAAGAAAGAUACGGAGGCACUCGAGUCUGCUGCGGCGCUGCUCAUGUUCUAAAAACCUAGGACAUCCUGUGCCUGUCGUCAUGGACCUCAAAUGUUCUUUUAUCCUUAUAUGUAAGGGUCUUAUUGUCUUUCCGAUAUAAUAUUUUUUACAACUACAAACCAAGGCAUAAACGACAAAACUUGUUUUACAAAUGAUGAUAUAAUUAACUUUAAUAAUAUGUGCAACUAGUUGUAUUUCUUUUUGAUUGUAUAACAUAUGACCUAAAUUACAUUGUCCACAUUUAAAGUUGCCUGACGGCAGUUGUUUUUGCAGCCAGUUCGAUUUUAUAUUUUCCUCUUCCUUUUCUAAUCUGUUCUUGACCAAUAAGUCUCUCAGACUUUUGGUCCUUCUGAAUGACACUAACGGUUUAGUAUGUAAGGUGUCUUAAUACCUCGUCAUUGUGUAAAAUAUGCCAACUUUAAAAAAUGGACGACCGAAUGACUUUUUCCAUGGGACUAAACUCAAACGAAAAAUGAUUUUGGUUAUUAGUACCGGGUUUUUUUCUUUUCGUUUUUUAUGCAGCAUUUGGCAGCAUGGGAUGGCUAGUGCUCUAUCAUAAGCUUCUUAUCAAUUAAAGCAGGUAACUCCUGUCUUUUAGUCUCUGACAUAAUUCAUUGGCCUGUUGUUUAAAUGUAUUUUCACCAGUAUUAUUCCUCCGCAACCACACCAUCUGACCAUAAGGUAGUGAUUCUUUAACAUGGUAAGGAUGGUAACUGUCAUAUCAUCAUAUAAAUAGGAAGGGGAGUGGAAGGACGUCAGAGGUCAUUGAUUAAGUGAACGAUUCGUCGACCAGGCUUCUGUAUUACCUGUACUUGAAUAAACUCACAGCAGCAGA